rnacentral:sRNA from 1 species
UUUUUUUUACUUUUUUUUUUAAUUGAA